rnacentral:rRNA from 1 species
GACGAACGCUGGCGGCGUGCUUAACACAUGCAAGUCGAACGGAAAGGCCCUGCUUGUGUGGGGUGCUCGAGUGGCGAACGGGUGAGUAACACGUGAGCAACCUGCCCUUGACUUUGGGAUAACGUCAGGAAAGGGGGGUUACUACCGGACAGCAGCUCCUGCUGGAGGGUGGGGGUGGGAAAGUCUGGGCUGUUGGGGCUGGACGGGCGGCUUACCAGCUUGUUGGUGGGGGAGUGGCUUACCAAGGCUUUGACGGGUAGCCGGCAGGGGAGGGUGACCGGCCACAUUGGGACUAAGAUACGCCCCAGAGUCCUACGGGGGGCAGCGGUGGGAAGUAUUGCACAGUGGGCGGAAGCCUGAUGCAGCAACGCCGCGUGCGGAAUGACGGCCUUCGGGUUGAAAACCGCUUUCGCCUGUGACGAAGCGGUAGUGACGGUAAUGGAUAAAGAAGCACCGGCUAACUACGUG